UGAUACUGUCUCUCAGUUUUG
ensembl:piRNA 21ur-11111 ncRNA